CUGCUGUUCUCAGAGGGGGGGGUGGGAGGGGGAGGCUUGAAGUUCAGAGCUGCCGCAGGAUCCACCUCCUAGGCCGUUCUGUCUGUCGACACUUUGGCUACACUAAUAGCAUGAGCAAGCUAGUUCUGGUCAUGCUGUCUGAUCAUCCCUCCACCCAGCUUGGAGCAGUGGGGCAUCUCCUUUGCUUUGUGUAGAAUGGCUACCGUGGAGCGGAAGUCGCGAACAUUUAUGAGCAUCAGGUGGUAGAGAGCAGGCUUGAGGUGUCCUCACUUGCAGUCAAGACAGGUCAUCCAUCUCUGGGUCUUCCAGGCAAAAACAAUCUGAAGUCUCAGCAUCACCAGCUCCCCUUGGGGUAAAUCGUUGUGCUGCAUCUCUGUCCUCAUCAAGUUUUCAGUGCUGAACCUACAGUUUAGAUCCUUGUGGUGUGGGAAAUAAAUACUGGACAUUCGUGAUGUGGGAAAGCUGCCACUUUAUUUUAAAGCAAAGAGGACAGGGCUGCGUGGUCACAGGACAUGCUUGUGGGCAAUUGGUGGCCUAAUCCCUUGAUCUGUCACAGGAUGGAGCAAUUUAAUCUCUGAUUUAAGCACUCUGGUCAUCCCUACCUUUGUUGCUAUGGAAUGUAGGGUCAGACACUAAUUACUAUGGGUAGGGGCAGGCAGUGCUGAUCAAAGGGCGCUUGCAGAUACUAAACCCAUAAAUCUGAGAGAGAAGGAUUUACAACCUCAUGCCUGAAGAAGAAAGAGGCUUUGAUAUAUUUAAUCAAGUCUCAAGCCUUAAAUCCCACUAUCACAGAUCCUUGGAGUUCGAUCACUUCCCUUCUUUUGCCCGUGUCUCCUUUUGAAGUCAUUAAAACUUCCAGCUGGUCCUGAUGCAGUGCUCUGCAUUUUGUAAUAACGAGACGAUGGUGCUGUUCCCAGCAGGCUGAGAUUACACUGUGCCUGGCUCCUCUUCUGGCCCAGGAGACACGUGCAGAGAGAAAGGAUGUAGUUGGGGCUGGUCCUGCUUUGAGCAGGGGGUUGGGCUAGAUGUGACCUCCUGAGGUCCCUCCCAAACCUCCUUUUCUAUGAUUCGAUAUUUAAUAAAACAUCUCUUUGAGCCACCACAAAAGAGUUUGGCUCGCACACGGUUGCACCCUGUGCCCCCAUUUCUCUUCUGGUUUGCAGCAGGACUUCUUGGUCUUGUAGAGGAAGGGCUGAAAACAAGUAAUCAAGUUAGCAUGGGCGUGAAAGUUGAGCCUUAGCAGGUACGGGACAAUGAUGCACGCGACCCACUGACUUCACCCAGUCAGGGGGACGUGAAAGCCAGCUCAGCAGACUUGUCUUGCUCAAGCAGGCUGUGGCUACUUGAGUUAUUUUUCAGGCUCCUGUUCUCUUAUUCCCAGCCCCACUAACGUCUCUGUCCUGCCCAGAGGAGGCACCUCUUUGUGUGAAGGAUGCUGCUGUGUCGUCUGGGAACUCGGUGAUUUCACGGGGGAUGUUCUGGUUAUAAGCUGUUAAGACCAAAGCCCUCAGCUGGACCAGGAACAAAUUAAGCAACAGAAAUGGCCAGAUUGUGAGUCCAGUCAAGGUCCAAUCAAGCUGGGGAGGGGAGCAGAACAGACUUUCAUCCAGCAGUUCCUCUACAAGCUCAGACCCGGGCUGGGUUAUCAUUUCUGAGAGAGGCAGCCAGGCUUGCUUUAAAGAUUCCCAGUGAUGGAAGAUCAGUCACAUCCCUUGUUAAGUUGCUCAGCUGGCUAAUUACCCUGGCUAAUAGGCUCCUUCUCUAGUCUUCAUUUAUUUUUUGCUUUAGCUCCCAGCCAUCUGAUAACAACUGCAAGGUUACAAAUUGAAAUGUUCUAGGCUCAGGAAACGGGGGGGGAUGUGAUUCUCACUGUAAUAUUAGUUCAGUUAUUUUUAUUGUGUGUAUGCCACGGUGCAUAUUUAAAAUAAGAAUAGAGAA